UAUAUAUAUUUCGCUGUUCUAAAGACAGUAGGUGCAGAAAUGCGUAAGUUUAUCGCCUACCGAGGAAGAGAAUUAUUACUAUGUAAUUUAUGCCUCUCCUCGGAAACUGGGAGAGGUUUUCUUUUGAACUG
rfam:Eubacterium sp. CAG:581 genomic scaffold, scf203